AUACGUAGGUGGCAAGCGUUGUCCGGAAUUAUUGGGCGUAAAGCGCGCGCAGGUGGUUCCUUAAGUCUGAUGUGAAAGCCCCCGGCUCAACCGGGGAGGGUCAUUGGAAACUGGGGAACUUGAGUGCAGAAGAGGAUAGUGGAAUUCCAAGUGUAGCGGUGAAAUGCGUAGAGAUUUGGAGGAACACCAGUGGCGAAGGCGACUGUCUGGUCUGUAACUGACACUGAGGCGCGAAAGCGUGGGGAGCAAACAGGAUUAGAUCCCCUGGUAGUCCACGCCGUAAACGAUGAGUGCUAAGUGUUGGGGGGUUUCCGCCCCUCAGUGCUGCAGCUAACGCAUUAAGCACUCCGCCUGGGGAGUACGGUCGCAAGACUGA
rnacentral:rRNA from 1 species